rnacentral:rRNA from 1 species
UGGGGAAUUUUGGACAAUGGGCGAAAGCCUGAUCCAGCAAUGCCGCGUGUGUGAAGAAGGCCUUCGGGUUGUAAAGCACUUUUGUCCGGAAAGAAAUCCUUGGCUCUAAUACAGUCGGGGGAUGACGGUACCGGAAGAAUAAGCACCGGCUAACUACGUGCCAGCAGCCGCGGUAAUACGUAGGGUGCAAGCGUUAAUCGGAAUUACUGGGCGUAAAGCGUGCGCAGGCGGUUUGCUAAGACCGAUGUGAAAUCCCCGGGCUCAACCUGGGAACUGCAUUGGUGACUGGCAGGCUAGAGUAUGGCAGAGGGGGGUAGAAUUCCACGUGUAGCAGUGAAAUGCGUAGAGAUGUGGAGGAAUACCGAUGGCGAAGGCAGCCCCCUGGGCCAAUACUGACGCUCAUGCACGAAAGCGUGGGGAGCAAACAGGAUUAGAUACCCUGGUAGUCCACGCCCUAAACGAUGUCAACUAGUUGUUGGGGAUUCAUUUCCUUAGUAACGUAGCUAACGCGUGAAGUUGACCGCCUGGGGAGUACGGUCGCAAGAUUAAAACUCAAAGGAAUUGACGGGGUCAAGCUGUUUCCU